UUUGAUCCUGGCUCAAAGUGAACGCUGGCGGCGUGAAUUAGGCAUGCAAGUCGAGCGAUCCCGCAAGGGAUAGCGGCAAAAGGGUGAGUAACGCGUAAUUAAUCUUCCUUCAAAACAAGGAUAGCACUGUGAAAACGGUGGUAAUACUCGAUGUUAUGGUUUGUUCGCAUGGAUAAACCAUCAAAAACGGGGACCGCAAGGCCUGUCGCUUAAAGAUGAGCUUGCGUACCAUCAGCUAGUUGGUAGGGUAACGGCCUACCAAGGCUAAAACGGUUAGCUGGACUGAGAGGUUGACCAGCCACAUUGGGACUGAAACACUGCCCAAACUCCUACGGAAGGCUGCAGUCAAAAAUAUUUAGCAAUGGACAAAAGUCUGACUAUGCGACCCCGCGUGCAGGAUGAAGGUCUUCGGAUUGUAAACUGCUUUUGUUAGGGGAAAAACCUGUAUUGUUAA
rnacentral:rRNA from 1 species